rnacentral:tRNA from 1 species
GCCGAGGUGGCGGAAUUGGUAGACGCGCCAGGUUUAGGUCCUGGUGUCUUAACGGCGUGGAGGUUCGAGUCCUCUCCUCGGCACCA